AUUGAACGCUGGCGGCAGGCUUAACACAUGCAAGUCGAGCGAGCGGCGGACGGGUGAGUAAUGUAUGGGAAACUGCCCGAUAGAGGGGGAUAACUACUGGAAACGGUAGCUAAUACCGCAUACUAUCGGAUGUACCCAGAUGGGAUUAGCUAGUGGGUGGGGUAACGGCUCACCUAGGCGACGAUCCCUAGCUGGUCUGAGAGGAUGACCAGCCACACUGGAACUGAGACACGGUCCAGACUCCUACGGGAGGCAGCAGUGGGGAAUAUUGCACAAUGGGCGCAAGCCUGAUGCAGCCAUGCCGCGUGUAUGAAGAAGGCCUUCGGGUUGUAAAGUACUUUCAGCGAGGAGGCGUUACUCGCAGAAGAAGCACCGGCUAACUCCGUGCCAGCCGCCGCGGUAAUAC
rnacentral:rRNA from 1 species